GGGAUAUUGCACAAUGGGGGGAACCCUGAUGCAGCGACGCCGCGUGGGUGAAGGAGUGCUUCGGCAUGUAAAGCCCUAUCGGCAGGGAAGAAGCAAGACGGUACCUGACUAAGAAGCCCCGGCUAACUACGUGCCAGCAGCCGCGGUAAUACGUAGGGGGCGAGCGUUAUCCGGAUUCACUGGGUGUAAAGGGAGCGUAGACGGCCAUGCAAGCCAGGGGUGAAAGCCCGGGGCCCAACCCCGGGACUGCCCUUGGAACUGCAUGGCUGGAGUGCGGGAGGGGCAGGCGGAAUUCCUGGUGUAGCGGUGAAAUGCGUAGAUAUCAGGAGGAACACCGGCGGCGAAGGCGGCCUGCUGGACCGCGACUGACGUUGAGGCUCGAAAGCGUGGGGAGCGAACA
rnacentral:rRNA from 1 species